UACAGAGGGUGCAAGCGUUGUUCGGAAUUAUUGGGCGUAAAGCGCGUGUAGGCGGCUUGUUAUGUCGGGUGUGAAAGCCCUCAGCUUAACUGAGGAAGUGCGCCCGAAACUGGCAAGCUUGAGUGCCGGAGAGGAUAGCGGAACACCCGGUGUAGAGGUGAAAUUCGUAGAUAUCGGGUAGAACACCAGUGGCGAAGGCGGCUAUCUGGACGGACACUGACGCUGAGACGCGAAAGCGUGGGGAGCAAACAGG
rnacentral:rRNA from 2 species